GCCUGGCUAGCUCAGUUGGUAGAGCAUGAGACUCUUAAUCUUAGGGUUAUGGGUUCAAGCCCUAUGUUGGGCG